rnacentral:misc_RNA from 1 species
GAAAUGCGAUAAGUAGUGUGAAUUGCAGAAUUCAGUGAAUCAUCGAAUCUUUGAACACACAUUGCGCCCUUUGGUAUUCCAAAGGGCAUGCCUGUUCGAGCGUCAUUUGUACCCUCAAGCUUUGCUUGGUGUUGGGCGUCUUGUCUCCAGUUCGCUGGAGACUCGCCUUAAAGUAAUUGGCAGCCGGCCUACUGGUUUCGGAGCGCAGCACAAGUCGCGCUCUCUUCCAGCCAAGGUCAGCAUCCACAAAGCCUUUUUUCAACUUUUGACCUCGGAUCAGGUAGGGAUACCCGCUGAACUUAAGC